ACUUUUCCAAAUUUCCCAUUCGCCUCAUCGUUCUCAUGGCGUAAGUCGGUGAUAGAGGAGGCAAACUGUAACUACCAAGGGGGUUAGGGCUCCUCUCAGGUUCGCAACUCGACUAGUCGACCCUCGCAUUCGAAUCGAAUCCGGUGGAACGAUGUGGCACGAAGCCAGGAGGUCGGAGCGGAAGGUCCACGACAUGAUGGACGCCGCUCGUAAACGAGCUCAAAGACGUGCCGUUUUCCUGGCCAAGCGCCGCGGCGACCCCCAGCAGUCGAUCCAGGUCGUCGGCUCUCGCUGCCGCAUGUGCCGCGAUGACGGCCUCUACCAAGCCGCCGAGGACCAGCAAGGCCUGAUUCCUUGGAACGGGAAGCAGGAUGUUUUGAUUGAUAGAUUUGAUUGGCGAGCUCUGCUCGAUUUUAUUCGAGAUACGCCGCACUUGCGUGCUCAAGAACAGUCCGAAGAAGAGGAGGAAUUAGAAGAGUGUGUUAAUUUUGAGUGUUAUCGGGAUUUAAUUAAGCAUCGUCGUAGAGGAUAUAGUGAUGAUGAGGGUUUGCUACAUGUGGAACAAGAGAUAGAGGCCAAGUUUACUGCCCCGUUUGCUCCUGACAGGUCUCAGGCGCAACAACCUUCUGCUGUUAAGGGUUCUUAUUCGCAGGUGGGGUUCUCUUAUGAAGGGAAUGGAAAAGAUGAGGCCCAGUUUUCGGACUCUGAUGAUAAUGAUGAAGAUGAUGACGAAGAUGAGGAUGAGGAUGAUUUCAACAGUGAUGACAGCAGUGAUGAAGGAAUGGAUAAAAUAGCAAAAGAGUUUGGAAUAAAAAGAUAUGGUUGGCUUGUUUACAUGGAUAAGAAAGCUAAGGAGGAGGAGAAACGGCAAAAAGAAGUGAUCAAAGGCGAUCCUGCAAUUAGGAAACUAAGUCGUAAGGAAAGAAGGAAGGCUUCUCAGAUAGAAAGGGAGAGAGAAAGAGAAACUGCACGGGUAACUGGAACUCGGGUGCUCCACCAUGACCCGUACCGUGAAACUAGACGAAGUCCAACAUAUGAAGCUUAUCCUCGCCCAAGAAGAUCAAGAUCUCGAUCAUAUUCACCAUCAUACUCACGGAGAUAUCCUCGUGGACGACAUUCUGAUGAUGGUCAUCGAAGCAAACCAACAAUUGCUAAAAUCGAAUAUAUUACUGAAUUUGGGGGAUCCGGGGACAAGGAUGGAUCAAAGCGUGAAGGGUUCUCUCCACCAUCGUCUCCUUCCUCACAGGCCAAUGUGUUAAACCGGCCCUCAACUGGUCUCAUACUUGAGGCUCUGCAUAUUGAUCCUGCAUCCGGUGCAUCCCUUGAGAAGGAUAAGGGUGCUAAAUUGGUGAAACCACCAGCAAGUAGAUCAUCAGCAUUAGCUAAGUUAACUAAGGGAAGUACUUCUGUUGGGCCGUUGAAGCAGCAACCAGUGGAGAAGAAAGAAACUCCUCAAGAACGACUUAAAAGGAUUAUGAGCAAGCAACUGAACAAACAAAUUAAGAAAGAUACUGCUGCUGAAAUAGCUAAAAAGCGAGAGCAGGAACGCCAGAGGCUGGAAAAACUUGCAGAAACAAGCCGAUUAAGUCGAUCUAGGCAUCGUAGCCGCAGUAGGAGCUAUAGCCGCUCUCCUCCAAGAAGACACCAACGUGGUAGAAGUCCGAGAAGGAAGAGUUCCCUAAGACGUUAUUCCCGGUCUCAUUCUAGAUCUCGUUCCCGGUCUAGCUCCCGCUCUCGAACCCGUAAUCGUUCACGAACUUACUCCCGCUCACCAAGGUGACCCCACUGUGUAUCUUUUCCUUAUGUUGCCUGGGGCCUAUUGGUACUCAUGGGGAUUGUUACCGAGAGCGGACCAGCUUACAGGGUUAGGAGCCGUUCAAGAUAUUGAUGGAAAAAGAGUUCAGGAAGUUCUUCCUACAGUUGUGGAUUUCACGUUUGUGGUGGUUGUUUGGAUAGUUCGAGAGUCAUGUUUGACAUAUCAUUUGAUCGCUUGAAGAUGACGCCUGUUUCUAGCUCCGGGAGGAUGCUACAAUAUUGUCUUGUAUAGAUCUCCCGUGGAGGCUUCGAUCUCCUCUUUGGCGCUUGGGUUGAUGGUGGCGGUGGUUGUAGGGAGAUAGAAGAAGUUGCUAGGGUUUCCAUGUAUGUAUGUUUUUUUUUUCUUUUUCUUUUUCUUCUUGUAUGGGCUCCAAUUUCUUUUUGGGCACAGGCUUACUUUGUAUUUGUUUGUAUGGAGAGUCCUUUCUUUUGUUUUGUGCUUACUUUUGUAUUCGGUACCCUUUUUUUGUAGUCUUGUUCUGUUGGUAAUGAAGUUAUUUGACCUUAAAAAA